AAAUAAAAUAAUGGAAUGAAUAUCAAUUGUAAUUUUUUUUACUUCCCCCAAUUCCUUUUUACUUCAAAUUUUCCUCCAUCUCCACCCUUAAACGAAAUCAGCACAACGACAUGCAAAUCAAUACGAUGGCGAUGGAAAUUCGCACAACUACAGUGGAGUUAGUCACACUGACAGUGUAAUCCGGCACAACGAUGGUGAAAUUCGACAUAUCGACGGUGGUGGAGUACAGCACAACGGAAGUGAAAUUCAGCACAUCGGUGCGUUAUUGAUGAGAAGAAAGAGAAUUGCAGAUAGCAAUUAAACUAGCUAUUGCGGUGUUCGAUUUUUGUUCUCCUAUUUGAAGGGGCAUAUCGAAGUGUGGAAAGAAAAAUAGGUGGUGAACUGCUUUAGAAGAACAUGAAGCUUGAUUCUUGUAAAUCAUUCAGCAUUAUUUUGUGGAAUUGAUAAAUUUUAAAGGGAGGUUAAGUAUUGCCCUUGCGAUUCUAAUGAGGCCUAGAUUGCUCUUCCUCGAUGAAUCAACAGGUGGACUAGAUAGUGCCCAACGUUCUUCGUAACACAGACACAGCAUUGUUAUCACAGCCUCAAAUUCAGCAGCCAAGCUGUGAAGUAUUUGAGCUGUUUGACAGAUUAUACUUGCUUUCCGGACAGUUUACUUUGGUAAAGUUUCUAAAGCAAACCA